rnacentral:rRNA from 1 species
UAGGGAAUAUUGCACAAUGGGGGAAACCCUGAUGCAGCAACGCCGCGUGAGUGAUGACGGUCUUCGGAUUGUAAAGCUCUGUCUUUGGGGACGAUAAUGACGGUACCCAAGGAGGAAGCCACGGCUAACUACGUGCCAGCAGCCGCGGUAAUACGUAGGUGGCGAGCGUUAUCCGGAAUUAUUGGGCGUAAAGGGAGCGUAGGCGGAUAAUUAAGUGGGAUGUGAAAUACUCAGGCUCAACCUGGGGGCUGCAUUCCAAACUGAUUAUCUAGAGUGCAGGAGAGGAGAGUGGAAUUCCUAGUGUAGCGGUGAAAUGCGUAGAGAUUAGGAAGAACACCAGUGGCGAAGGCGACUCUCUGGACUGUAACUGACGCUGAGGCUCGAAAGCGUGGGGAGCAAACAGG